rnacentral:rRNA from 1 species
UUGAGAGUUUGAUCCUGGCUCAGGAUGAACGCUGGCGGAGUGCCUUAGGCAUGCAAGUGGAAUGUCGAUAAUCCCGCAAGGGAUGAUCGGCAUCGCAGACGGGUGAGUACAGCGUAGGAAUUUGCCCAAUGGUGGGGAAUAACUCGCCGAAAGGCGGGCUAAUACCGCAUAAGAUCGCAAGAUGAAAGGCCGUAACUGGCCGCCGAUGGAGAAGCCUACGUCCUAUCAGCUAGUUGGUGGGGUAAAAGCCUACCA